AAGUCGUAACAAGGUUUCCGUAGGUGAACCUGCGGAAGGAUCAUUAACUCAAUAUAUGUAUGGUCACUUCGGUGGCUGUGCAUCAUAUUACCAAAACCAAAUUAACAAUCCGUGAAACUAUAACAAAACCAAAAUGAAUGGGUUCGCGUGUCAUUACUUCGUUUGAAUGCACGUACUCAGCCAAUACCAAUUCCACGUAAUUUUUAACCAUAUUAACCCAUUACUGUAACGAUCUUUUCACUUGUGUCAAGAGCGUACUAAAACAAAAGCGUGUCAUUACUUAAUUGAAUGCAUGCACCAAUUUUAUUCUAAAACAGAGAAAUACAACUCUUAACAAUGGAUAUCUUGGUUCUC
rnacentral:misc_RNA from 1 species